GAUGAACGCUGGCGGCGUGCCUAAUACAUGCAAGUCGAGCGAACAGACGAGGAGCUUGCUCCUCUGACGUUAGCGGCGGACGGGUGAGUAACACGUGGAUAACCUACCUAUAAGACUGGGAUAACUUCGGGAAACCGGAGCUAAUACCGGAUAAUAUAUUGAACCGCAUGGUUCAAUAGUGAAAGACGGUUUUGCUGUCACUUAUAGAUGGAUCCGCGCCGCAUUAGCUAGUUGGUAAGGUAACGGCUUACCAAGGCAACGAUGCGUAGCCGACCUGAGAGGGUGAUCGGCCACACUGGAACUGAGACACGGUCCAGACUCCUACGGGAGGCAGCAGUAGGGAAUCUUCCGCAAUGGGCGAAAGCUUGACGCAGCAACGCCGCGUGAGUGAUGAAGGUCUUCGGAUCGUAAAACUCUGUUAUUAGGGAAGAACAAAUGUGUAAGUAACUAUGCACGUCUUGACGGUACCUAAUCAGAAAGCCACGGCUAACUACGUG
rnacentral:rRNA from 1 species